rnacentral:rRNA from 1 species
GACGAACGCUGGCGGCGUGCUUAACACAUGCAAGUCGAACGGAAAGGCCCUGCUUUUGUGGGGUGCUCGAGUGGCGAACGGGUGAGUAACACGUGAGUAACCUGCCCUUGACUUUGGGAUAACUUCAGGAAACUGGGGCUAAUACCGGAUAGGAGCUCCUGCUGCAUGGUGGGGGUUGGAAAGUUUCGGCGGUUGGGGAUGGACUCGCGGCUUAUCAGCUUGUUGGUGGGGUAGUGGCUUACCAAGGCUUUGACGGGUAGCCGGCCUGGGAGGGUGAGCGGCGAAGUGGGGUCGGGGCUGCGCCCCAGACCACUAGGGGAGGGGGGGGUGGGGAAGAUUAUCCAGUGGGAGGAGGCAUGAUGCAGCACCGCCGCGUGGGGGAUGACGGCCUUGGGUUUGUAAACCGCUUUCGCUUGGGAGGAGGCGUGAGUGACGGUAAUGGGAAAAGAAGCCCCGGCUAACUACGUG